AAUUAAGAUCGCUCGCGAUGGGUAUCGGGAUUCAUCCAAUUGGACGAAAAACGUGGACACACAAGCACAUGUGAAUCGGCGGAUAUAAGAUAUCUGUCUCCGAUUAAAUCGCACUCUCGACGAUUGAGAGCGAGGGGAAGGAGGAUCCUCGACCUUGGAGCCCGAGUUUCCGGCAGCUUUCAUCCAUUACGAGACGGCCCACGCAGCUCAAGAGAGAGAGAGAGAGAGAGAGAAGGAGGGAUGUUCGAUCGACGUAUCUCUUCGGCGCGAGGAUACGAGGCGCAUACGCACGGCAGAUCGCAGGCGCACAAGUGUAACGUGUACGGCCAUCGAGUGGAACCGAGCGGAACCAGAUAUUCUGAUUCGUCAGGAACGGACCUGAGACAGCCGACAUAUCCGGAAGGAGUACGAAAUUGAAGAGAUUUCUGCGCUAGUCGUCUCUUGGUAAACGAGAUAGCGGCCAUGCGACAAAGAACACGUCGGGGAAUUAUACUUGUUCGACGGACUACUCAAUUUCCUGUCUGCGAAAUGACUCGGCGGAUUCGAUUCUUUCCGAGAGAUUCAACUCGUUUUCAUCAUUGCUGCCAAUUGGAAGGCACCCCGCUCUCCUCGGGAUCGACGGGAACGCUUCGAUGGUUUAUCCUCCUACGACACAGGUGAAAACGUAAUUAAGGAUCCCGCUUAUUAAAGCGCGUUUGCGCUCGCCGCAUAAAGGGCCUACGCGAGCGAGAGGCGAAAUAACCCCGGCUCCAUGGGUGGCACGGUUAGCAGCCCAUCCAUUUUUCUGACUGCUUGUUGUUUCGCGCCGGGGGUCCCGAGCUCCUUCAAUCCUCGAGCCUCCCGGAUCCACCCUAUAAAAACCUCUCGCUCCCGCUACAUCCCGUUCCGAAUCCGCGAGGGCAGCGUCCAUAAAAUGCCCUCCGGAAAUCGCUCGCUCUCGGAAAAAUUAUCCUCCCAUC